UACUGUGUAUUUCCCCCUUUAACGUCAAUAACAGCUUGAAGUCUUUUGUGAUAGUUGUCACUGAGUCUCUUUAUCUUUUCAGAUGGUAAAGCUGCCCAUUCUUCUUGGCAAAAAGCCUCCAGUUCCUGUAAAGUCUGGGGCUGUCUUGCAUGGACUGCACGUUGGAGGUCUCCCCAGAGUGUCUCAAUAAUGUUGAGGUCAGGAGACUAAGAUGGCCACUCUAAGACCUUCACUUUAUGCUGUUGUAGCCACUGACAAGUUGAUUUGGCCUUGUGUUUUGGAUCAUUGUCAUGCUGGAAUGUCCAAGUUCAUCCUAUGCGCAGCUUCCGGGCUGAGGCGUGUAGAUUUUCCUCCAGUAUCUUUUGAUAAGUGACUGCAUUCAUCCUGCCAUCAACUCUUACCAAAUUUCCAGUGCCUUUGUAGUUCACACAUCCCCAAAACAUCAGAGAUCCACCACCAUGUUUCACUGUGGGAAUGGUGUACUUUUCAUCAUAGGCCUUGUUGAUUCCUCGCCAGAUGUAGCGUUUAGUGUUGUGCCCAAAAAGUUCAAUUUUGGUCUCAUCACUCCACACAACUUUUUGCCAGAAGGUUUGGGGUGUGUCUCUGUGCAGUCUGGCAUAUCUUAGACGGGCUUCUUUGUGGCAUUUGCGUAGAAGGGGCUUUCUUCUGGCAACUCUCCCAUGCAGCCCAUUUCUUCUCAAGAGUCUCCUAAUUGUACUCUUUGAAACAUCCACAUCAACUUGUUUCAGAGAAUCUCGAAGUUCACCAGAUGUUAUUUGGGGCUUCUUCUUUACAUCAUGCACAAUUCUUCUAGCAGUGGUCCUUUGACAAUUCCUUUGAUUUUCCCAUGGCUCAAUCUCAAAGAUGACGCGCAGCACUGGAUGAGGGAUAAAAGGUUCUCUCAAAAGUCCAGCAAUUUACUGACUUUUAUUUUCACCCACUAAUUAGAAGAAAACAGAUCACAGGUGAAGGUAGUUGCCUUUAAUUGCCAUUCAGUCCUGUUUAUGUCAAAUUGUGUACAGGUUUUCAGGCCAAUUCACAGGGGUAUGUAAACUUUUGAUCAGGGUCAUUUAGGUAGUUUUUGUUGUUUUCAUGGUUUUCAAAGAGUAAACGCAGUAAUGAAUGCAAUAAAUAGCUUCAGCCAACCAUUAACCACAAGUGAAAUAAAGGUUUUUGUGUAUUAUCAUUCAAUUUCUCUUAGAAAUGGGCAAGAAACGAAAUAUUCUGUUGGGGUAUGUAAACUUUUUCCCACCACUGUAAGUAUAUGAACUUUUGAAGUUUUGAACUUUCUUAAGGCUGUCAUUCUAGACACAAAACGCCCUGCAACUAAACAUGCACUGAUGUCUUUUCUGGGUCAGAAAAUGGAUCCCUGACUGCUCUUUAUAUGACAAGCUUCUCUGUUCUGCAAUCUCUCAUCACGAUCCACUGCAACAUCCUUUGACCUGGAUUGACGCUAUGGUGGUCGCUUAUCACUCCCUCAGAAGCACCCUUUGUUCCGCCCCUGGGUUACCUGCUCACUUCAAGCCCUUCCACCUCUAUGCCCGUGAACACCAAGGCACAGCCUCUGGGGAGCAUGAGGGGGGGAAAUGCAUCAUUGUGCGUUUUUAUCCAAAACAUUAGACAUUGUUGCUCAAGGCUUACCUGCGUGUCUGGGGGCUGUCUCCGCAUGUGCUUUGAUAGUUUUAGAUGCGGAAAAAUUGGUUUUGUCUCACCCACUGAUCUUGCACUCGUCACAUCAAGUUAAACAGGUGUUGCAAAAUUUACAGACCCAUUAAAUUAAUUUAUCAGUAAUUUAAUAGAUAAUUAAAUUAACAUAUGACUAUUUAUUCUCUGUUCUACUAACACUCUCGAAAUUCGUGUCACAUCCUCUUUUGAUAAUGUAGGUCAAGCUCUCGCACGCCUCCUUAAUUCUCGGGAUGACACUUGGGAUGACAUUGAUAUUGUCUGUCUAAAAAUCGUACAUACUACUAGUAUCAGGUUUGAUCUCUUUCCUCCAGCCCUCUAGGGAUCUUUGUUGGUGGUUUUUGUUCUAAACCCUCAGACGGUUCUUGUUUUAUAAUUUAUAAUAUUAUCACACCUCUGUGGUUAUUCUGUGUGUUCAAUCAAUAUCAGCCUGAUAUUCUGCAUGAGACAUACGCUCUUCCUUUCUCAUUUGAUUUUUGUCGUCUUGAUUGUGGACAAAUUCUCUAAAUGGGUAGAAGUUUUUUUCCUGUUUUCGAGAGAACACGAAGGUAGUUACUCGUUUUAAUUUAUUUAUAAGUGCCUUUCAAGGUACCCAAGGACACUGGACAGUAAAAUAAGAAAAACAAACAAUAAAAGCAGAACAAUAAAAUAACAACAAUAAAAUAAUAAGAAAUCAAUAAUAAUAAUAAUUAUUGUUAUAGUUAUGGGGUUUCAAAUGCCAUAGACCCCUUUUACUUCAAAAGUCACACAAAACCUUUGUAAGUAUCUCUAAACUAAACUGGUGUUUUCACAUUCCUAAAUCCUCUGGUAUCGUGGAACGUACUAAUCGAACAUUGAAAGACAAAUUAAUUAAGGUCAUGCAGGACACAGGUUUAGUUCUGUAAUCCAUAAUUCAUUCUGGCUGAAAUUUGCAUGACACCAAGAAACUAUUUUUUGGAAGACCUUUCCCCUCUCCCCUGGAAGAAGGGAACUCCGGCUCUGGGUACCUCUGAUUUGAAAAUGCAUAUGGAUGAGUAUUCUGUAGCCCUUUAGAUAAGUUGCAUAAAAUUUGUACCAAGGUCAAUAGUACAAUAUUAUCUCCACCACACACCCCUUUCACGCAGGAGACAAGUGCUGGUGUGACUUUUUGAAUGAUUUGGACAAUUGGGAAAACCUAGAUAUGGUGGGCCUGCAGACAUAGUCGCCAUUACUUUUGCUGCUGUUUUAACUGAUCUUUUUCCACAGUGGAUCCAUGCCACGCGAUUGAAGAAGGCUCCAUAACAAAGUUGUGUUACAAUGACAAGUUUGCUGCUAUUAACGCUUUUUGUGUCCCUAUCUAGUCUCCUUCUGGCCAGUUUUCUUUCUCUCUGUCUCUCUAUUUCUGAGCUCUACACAGAUUCGACUGAGAAUCCUCAAGACGUUGUGAACAAAGAGGGGAAGAGAUCUUGCGCCCCGUUUGGAACCAAUCAUCCUCACUACAACCAUGACAGUCCUCAUCACGGGUUUCGUGACUUCAUUGUUGCUCGGGGCAGGGCUACCCGCCCGAGCCUUCAUGACUGCUUCAUCUUUGCUCGGGGCAGGGUUACCCGCCCGAGCCAUCUGAACCACUUCAUUGCUCGGGGCAGGGCUACCCGCUCGAGCUGGACUUCAUUGCUCGGAGCAGGGUUACCCGUUUGAGCUGGACUUCGAGACAACAUAUUCUGGACUAACUUCGCUAACUGGACUGCACAAGCGCACACCACACGAAUGUGUUAUGUCUUUCCUCUGAUGCCGUUUUCUAGUAUUAUUACACAUCUCUAUGCUCUGAAACUCUAUUCUUACAGGACUCUGUUCUCACUAUAGGUCGAUAUGCCUUCUAAUUUCAUUUUCCCUCACUGUUUUAGAACAAAUUACUCUGAAGGAAGUAGCGUGCAUUUGGGACGAAUUAAGGGGUUUUGAGUUUCUCUAAGCUCCGGUGAGGUGGGACGAGGGCUGAUCGGGCAUGCCCGCCCUCUGAGCACCAAUAUACGUCAAGAAGGGCAAAGAUUAACUCAAGAUUAAUUCUCGAUGUAAUCACAUAUAUGAUCAUGAGGUGAUAAUAUAUGGUCCUAGGAUUUGAUAAUAGUGAUACUAUUAUCAAAGGGGGGGAUUGUUAGGUUUAUAUAAGUAUUAUUCUUGACCAAGAAGGCAGUAAUUUAUUAAAAUGGUGACAAAAUUAAGGAUUAACUUCGGUUCAGUUAAAAUGACCUUCUGUCUCGGCUGGACAUCGUUUGGGAACAUUUUUGUUUAUUUUGAUAUGAAAUGUGUAUUUCUGAUCAGAGAUGUGUCUGAACGACGCCAAGGUCUGUUUUGAUGUCAGAUCGACCCACACACACUUUAAUGUUGGAUGUAAUGGUAGCCUUAUUGCUGAACAAAGAGUUAAGACUUUAUAUUUUUGGAUUAUUGCAUAUACUAUGGCAGUGAUUUAAAUUUAAUUGUUAGAUCUAAGAUGCAUUCAAUGAUUUAAGUUAGUUUUAUAGUUUUAAGUUAGUUUUAUAAUUACAGAAUAUAAUUUAGGGUUGUUAAGACCUUAUGAUUCUAAUGUUAAGACUUCAUGAGUUUAAUCCUGAAUCCUGUUUGACCUUUCUCUGGUGAAGUAGCAUUUCUUUGUUUUGCCAGACAUAUUCUUUGUUUAUGUUUCGUAUGACUGUCUUUUAGGUUUGUUCUUAUUUACUUAUAACAUACCUUUGUUGAAAGAUUCCGUAUGUGCGUAAGCAAUGUUUGUAUCUUGCUAUCAUGUCAUAUGAUCAGAUAUGUUAUGAUUAUUUGACCUGCCCCAAGAUCAAGCUGCUCACUUGCUCGCAAGUCAACCACACACACAUACAUCUGAACACUCCAUCAGAACAGUGAUGUAAUUAAAAUGUGACCUGCUCUCACACACACACACACACAUAGACACAGAUAUCAAAAUGAUGUCACUCACUCACACCCUCCCAUAGACACACACACACACACCCCUCUCUGAGGUCACAUACAAACAAACACACACACAUUCGACAGACACAAUAGCCGUUUGGAGAGAUUAUGAUUUGUUAUAAAAGGUGUUUGUAAUCUUUCAUCUUUGGCGAGAAUACUGUGAAUAAACAGCAGUGAAACCGA